rnacentral:lncRNA from 1 species
GCCGGUUGAUGAUAAUAUCUCAUUGCAAAAAGAACAACAGAUACCAAAGUUGAGAAGUACACUUUCAGCUAGGAAUCUUUUUGCUGGUGGUGAUUUGUUGAAUAAGGUGACUGACUUCUGCAAUGAGCUGAAGAAACUAGUAACCAUCAGAACUAAAGAGAAAGAGAAUGGUGCAAAUGAGAACUUGGAAACAAGUCCACUGAUGGGGAAUAAACAAAAGGCAAAAGAUUGUAUUGUUGAUGAUGAGCAAAGGGAAAGGAAGCCAUUGUUUGAGAUGACUAAAGAGACUAAUGAAACAGUGUCAAAAGGCAACAUUAAGGAGAAACAGAGAAGGAAACUACUGUAAGUUUCACAUAUUUCUUGCCAUCUGUAUCCUCACAGACAAACAUUUACAUGUUUUGUAGAUAAUUUCACAUAAUAAUGUUACCCCAUUAAAUAGUUAAUUUAGUCAACCAUUUUUUUAAGAUGUAACUUGUAAAGGAACAUUGUUUUGAGAGUAUCAUAAUCAAACUAUAGUUCACACGGAAGAUCUCAUUGUUUAUAAUAUUUCUAUUAGGUUGAUACCAUACUUUUGCUAAUUCUAAAAUAUAAUGGGAUGAUCAUUCAGAGGCGGACAAGAAUUUAAAAUUGAUCGGUUCAACCUUGAGAGUUCUUAGCCACUGAAUUCAUUGCACUUUUGAAAUUUAAAAUUAUGGGUUCGAAAUUUAAUAUUUGUUGAUAUUUAGUGGUUUAUGUGUCGAGAAAAUUGGUUCAGUCAGAAUGUAUAGCACAUAGAUUGCAUCCCCCUAUGUGGCCAUUAUGCUAAUAACAUCAACAGGUUAAACAAAUACUUAGAGGUGGUUAUGUUUUAUUAGAGGGUACUGAGUAUUACUCUUGUUGAACUAUAUCUAUGCAGGAGAAAUGAUAAUGCAGAAAACACACCAAUACUUGUGGAUGUGAAGAACAUUAAGCGCAAAGAUGAAGAAAUCUUGUCCCAAAUCCGCACGAAUCCUCCCACUCCUCAGUGUUUCUCGGCCAGCCGUGGAACU